rnacentral:rRNA from 1 species
UACGUAGGGUGCGAGCGUUAAUCGGAAUUACUGGGCGUAAAGCGUGCGCAGGCGGUGCUGUAAGACCGAUGUGAAAUCCCCGGGCUUAACCUGGGAACUGCAUUGGUGACUGCAGCGCUGGAGUAUGGCAGAGGGGGGUGGAAUUCCACGUGUAGCAGUGAAAUGCGUAGAGAUGUGGAGGAACACCGAUGGCGAAGGCAGCCCCCUGGGCUAACACUGACGCCUCAUGCACGAAAGCGUGGGGAGCAAACAGG